GAGGCUCAGCAGGGCACCUGCCAAGGCCAGGCUCCCAGUCAGGUUGCUCUUGCUCGAGGGGAGCGCUGACCUGCCGACCACAGAUGGAGUGGGCUCAGCACAGUGGUGAGACCAGAAACGAGUUGAGAGCAGCUCUCUGCCCUUCAAAACAAAAGAGCCGGCAGAAGAGUGAAGAGGAGAGCAGAGUCUCAGAGACCAUAUGUGUCGUGCUGUGGAAGCCUGGGAGCUUAAUCAAAGCACCUACAGGUCCUGGGAUCCGACUGUCUUUUCCAGAUUUCAUCCCCUGGUUGGAUACCGAAGAAAGGGCUGCAGGGCUGCGGUUUAAAGCAUGAAUGGAAAUUUCGAGCCUUCUCUCCCACUACCACCCCCCAUGCAUUGCUCCAGCCCAGUCUGAACACCACGAGUUUUUAGGAUCGAACUGAACUGAGUUUCUGGGAUCAAUGCUUUUCCCAUAAAAUCUGAACUUCUCUUGGCCCAGCUGUUUGGAAAAAAAAAAAUUGAAGAGUGCUUUGAGGCUCCCAGGAGAUGUACAGACUUCUUCAACGCAGGAGUGUCUCUACCUUCAAACUGGGGACACAUACCUAUACAUAUCAUUGUGUAUAUCAUUGGGGCAUCCAAACUACACAUGUUCUCCACUCCAUGACUCUGUAUACUAUGAAGGCUAAAGGUGAGACUUUAAUGGUCUUUUUGUUGUUGUUUGUUUUUGUUUGUUUGUUUGUUUGUUUUCGAGACAGGGUUUCUCUGUGUAGUCCUGGCUGUUCGGGAACUCACUCUGUAGACCAGGCUGGUCUCGAACUCAGAAAUCUGCCUGCCUCUGCCUCCCCAGUGCUGGGUUUAAUGGUCUUAAUGGUACCGAAUUAUUACUUGAAUAAGUUCUAGAUUAAAAAAAAAAAACCCAAACUCAAACAAACAAACCAAGACCCUACAACAAAACUCCUCACAUGUUCUGCUUCACAUCACAUCUCAUCUGGAAGAAAUAAAUAUGGCAUGUUGCUUUUUUCCACUUUAGAUC
rnacentral:lncRNA from 1 species